rnacentral:rRNA from 1 species
UUCUAUUAGAUAUAAUUAAUAGUAUAAUCUGCUCAAUGAAAAUUUAAUAGCCGCUAAUAGUGCUAAGGUAGCAUAAUCAUUCGUCUUCUAAUUAAAGACUAGAACAAAAGAUUAAACAUUUUAAAUUAUUUCUAAAAUUUAUAUUUUUAAUCUAUUUUAAAAGUAAAAAAACUUUUAUAAAAAAGAAAGACGACAAGACCCUAUUGAACUUUACUAUAGUUUAACUGGGGUAGUUAAUUAAUUAUUAUUUUAAUUUUAAUAUAUAUAUAUAUAUAUAAAUGAUCCAAUUAAUUUGUUCAAUUGAUCAAGUUACCAUAGGGAUAACAGCAUAAUAUAAUAUUAACAGAUCUUAUCAAAAUAUAUGAUUAUGACCUCGAUGUUGAAUAAUAACCUAUUUAUUUAUACGCAAUAGUUAAAAAAGGAAGUCCGUUCGACUUUUAAAAAAUUACA